CCUACGGGCGGCAGCAGUGAGGAAUAUUGGUCAAUUGACGAGAGUCUGAACCAGCCAAGUAGCGUGAAGGAUGACUGCCCUAUGGGUUGUAAACUUCUUUUAUAUGGGAAUAAAAUGUUCCACGUGUGGGAUUUUGUAUGUACCAUAUGAAUAAGGAUCGGCUAACUCCGUGCCAGCAGCCGCGGUAAUACGGAGGAUCCGAGCGUUAUCCGGAUUUAUUGGGUUUAAAGGGAGCGUAGGUGGAUUGUUAAGUCAGUUGUGAAAGUUUGCGGCUCAACCGUAAAAUUGCAGUUGAAACUGGCAGUCUUGAGUACAGUAGAGGUGGGCGGAAUUCGUGGUGUAGCGGUGAAAUGCUUAGAUAUCACGAAGAACUCCGAGUGCGAAGGCAGUUCACUGGACUGCAACUGACACUGAGGCUCGAAAGUGUGGGUAUCAAACAGGAUUAGAUACCCCUGUAGUC
rnacentral:rRNA from 1 species